rnacentral:lncRNA from 1 species
GGGGGGUCCCCGGCUCCAUCCCAAGGUGACCCCGGUCCUGGCUCCCCCCGGGGCACGUGAGAGCGGGCGGCCCGCCCGAAAUAGCCCCGGGACAGGGUGGCCCGAGGGGCCCCCGGAGGGGAAGGGGGCGGCUGGGAGAGGCCCCCUACGAGGGGGGUGUGGGGGGGGGGACGGACAUGUGGGGAACAGGGGGGCACCCGGGGCAUGGGGAAAAAUGGGGCACGGGGACACCUUGGGACGCACAGGGCUGGGGGACACCCGGCGAGGGGACACUGCGGGCAAGGGGACACUCUGGGCAUGGGGACACGUGGGGAGACACAGGGCACGGGUGUGUGCGGGGACACGUAGGGCACAGGGGUGCAAGGGGGCACCCAGAGCAUGGGGACACACAGGGACAAACCAGGCAGGGGGACACGCGGGGCUUGGGGACACGCGGGGCUUGGGGGCACAGAGGGCACGGGGACACAUGGGACAACAUGGGGAGACAAGGGACAUGGAGAUACACGGGGGACACGCUGGGCCUGGUCAUACAUGGGGACAUGUGGGGUACAGGGGUGCAGGAGCAUGGGGACACAUAGGGACAAACCAGGCAGGGGGACACAGAGGGCACGGGGACACGGGAAUGGGGACACACGGGAACGGGGAGACAUGGAAGACACACUGGGCCUGGUCAUACAUGGGGACAUGUGGGGGUGCAGGAGGGCACCGAGGGCACGGGAUCAAACGGGGACACACAGGGCAUGGGGACACACUGGGCACGGGUGUGUGGGGGGACAUGUAGGGCACAGGGGUGCAAGGGGGCACCCAGAGCAUGGGGACACACAGGACAUGGGGGACAUGCGGGGAUUGGGGACACAAGGGGGACAUGCUGGGCCUGGUCGUACGUGGGGACAUGUGGGGUACAGGGGUGCAGGAGGGCACCCAGGGCACGGGAUCAAACGGGGACACACAGGGCACGGGGACACACGGGUCAUGGGGACACACGGGACAUGGAGAUGGAUGGGGGACACACACACACGCUGGGCCUGGUCAUGCUUGGGGACAUGUGGGGUACCGGGGUGCAGGAGGGCACCCAGGGCACGGGAUCAAACGGGGACACACUGGGCACGGGGACACUUGGGGACACACAAGGCGUUGGGGUGCGCAGGGCAUGGGGACACGUGGGGCAGAGACCCAUACACGGCCACGCAGGGGUGCA